GAUGAACGCUAGCUACAGGCUUAACACAUGCAAGUCGCAGGGUAACAUGAGGAAAGCUUGCUUUCCUUGAUGACGACUGGCGCACGGGUGAGUAACGCGUAUCCAACCUUCCCAUAACUACGGGAUAACCCGUUGAAAGACGGCCUAAUACCGUAUGAUAUCGUUUGCUGACAUCAAAUAACGAUUAAAGGUUUAGCGGUUAUGGAUGGGGAUGCGUCUGAUUAGCUUGUUGGCGGGGUAACGGCCCACCAAGGCUACGAUCAGUAGGGGUUCUGAGAGGAAGGUCCCCCACAUUGGAACUGAGACACGGUCCAAACUCCUACGGGAGGCAGCAGUGAGGAAUAUUGGUCAAUGGGCGAGAGCCUGAACCAGCCAAGUAGCGUGCAGGAUGACGGCCCUAUGGGUUGUAAACUGCUUUUAUGUGGGGAUAAAGUGCGUGACGUGUCAUGCAUUGCAGGUACCACAUGAAUAAGGACCGGCUAAUUCCGUGCCAGCAGCCGCGGUAAUACGGAAGGUCCGGGCGUUAUCCGGAUUUAUUGGGUUUAAAGGGAGCGUAGGCUGUCUAUUAAGCGUGUUGUGAAAUUUACCGGCUCAACCGGUGGCUUGCAGCGCGAACUGGUCGACUUGAGUAUGCAGGAAGUAGGCGGAAUUCAUGGUGUAGCGGUGAAAUGCUUAGAUAUCAUGACGAACUCCGAUUGCGCAGGCAGCUUACUGUAGCAUAACUGACGCUGAUGCUCGAAAGUGCGGGUAUCAAACAGG
rnacentral:rRNA from 1 species